GCCACAGGAUGCAACAGCUUUGGAUUGGUUUCUAGGAUGGGGAAUCCUUGCGUCCUGAUUUCAACUCAGCAACCAAACUGAAUACUGUUUAAAGAGGAAGGAAGGAAGAAUGCUUCAAUGUCUUACGUUCUAACUGGGAAAAGAAGACCCGUGUACAGAAGUUUUGUCCUCCCCCAGGAUCAUAAAUAACUUCCAAAGUAAAAGCACAUCCGUGACUAUUUGGACAACUUGUAGGUAGGUGGUGGAGCAAAAGAAACCUAAACUGAAAGCAAUCUUGCCAUUCAACACAAGAUUCAUGGUAUCCAGGAGCUCGCCUGUUCGUUGCAUCUUCAAGGAGACCCAGCAUGCUAGCAAAGUUGCCUGAUAAAUAUGCCACAUCUCUCUGCACAGGUUCAAACGCAUCCCUGGUCAUGUCAGCAUUUUGAUGCUUCCUGGGGGCCCUUCUCUUUCUCAUUAGCAUUUUCAGAAGGUUAUAUGACUCAAAUCUAUUAAGCAGAUAACCCCCGCCCCCAGCAAGUUGUGAGGGGCUAGAGAGAGAGAAGACAGGGCAAUGAACUUGGAGGAGAUUCACACCCCUGCCCCACAUUCUUCUGGGAACUGGAAAGUCUGUGUCUUUUGCGAUGAAAGAACAGGUUAUGACCCCUUCAGACACUGUCUCUGGAGAGGUAAAGUUCACAAGCUGCAGAGGAGGGGGCACUCAUCCUAAAGGAUCCUUGCUGCUGACUCCAUCUCUGUCCUUGAAGAGACCUUUUUUGCUUCUCUAGACACUUGUAGGCACCCUGGUGAGUUGACCCCAGGGACUCACAUUUCAUUUUGAGACCAGUCCUCUGGCUGUCACAUUCACUUCAACUUAACCCCCUCCUUUCAUGGGAAUGACCUAGAGAUGGCUGCCUGAAGGAGAAAGUGUGUCUCUGGUGUUUGGCAGAACAUAUAAUGAUGGUCCCUUCUCAAGAAUAGGGAGGAGAGAUGAUGGUGAAACACAGGCACAGGGGUGCCUCUGUCUAGCUAUUUAGGAGUUGUUGAACUAAAAAGACUGAUUUUAGAAAGUGGUAGCUCAGAGCAGAACACAGCUCCCAUGCUGUUUGAGGGAAAGAGAUCAGGAAACAAAAGGUUUUAAGUCAGGAGGAAUUCUGACUUAAUAGAAACUGGUAGCUUCUUUGGACCAACUCGUAAGUGGAUUUGAAGAUAGAGACAGAAUGUUUUUGGAAAUCCUCUUAAAGUAACCCUGGAAGGAGGAUAGCCUGGGCUUGGCUCCUUAAUAGAGGUAUCCAGAAGAAAUUAAGUAAUUUUCAUUCCCUGAUCUGGAUAAGGCUAGAAAGGUAUUGAUUCUCUAUAGGCAAAUGCAGAUUCACCAGCAUGAAUUCAUUUGUAUUGUCUGCAAGCAAGUCGUCCUCUUUUAUAUGAAAAAUGAUUUGGAACAGGUUUUAGGAUGAGAAAUCUGGUGCAGUUCAGCAGGAUGGAUUUGGGAGGGAAGAGGUGGUGAGAGGAAGUCGUUAGAAGGCUCUUGUGAUUGAAUAUUAAGAUCAUGGAGCCUGGAAUUGCAAUGGUAGCCCUGGAACUGGAGAAGAAUUUGUUACUGAUCAGAAAGGCCUUGCAGGAAAGUUCUUCAACAAAAAAGAAGAAAAAAUGGGCAAAAUGUGGGAAAAAAUACUUGCCACAAAUAUGAUGGACAAAAGUGAAUAUUCUAAACAUUUAAAAAACGUAUGGAGAGGAGAGUUCCCAUCAUGGUGCAGUGGAAACAAAUCCGACUAGGAACCAUGAGGUUGAAGGUUUGUUCCCUGGCCUCGUUCAGUGGGUUAAGGAUCUGGCAUUGCUGUGUGCUAUGGUGCAGGUCACAGAUGCAGCUCAGAUCUGGUGCUGCUGUUGCUCUGGCAUAGGCUGGCAACUGUAGCUCCAAUUAGACCCCUAGCCUGGGAACCUCCAUAUGCUGUGGGUGUGGCCCUGAAAAAAGACAAAAAGACAAAAGACAAAAAAUAAAUAAAAUUUAAAAAUUAAAAAUUAAAAACAUAUGGACAAAAAAACACAGAGAUCCAACAGCCCUAAGGGCAGAGGGAAUGGAUGGGAAAUUCCCAUAGAAAGAAUAUAGAUGAGGUAAUAUACAUGCAGAAAUGUUUAGCCUCACUAGUGGUUAACAAACUAAAAAUUUAAACAGUGAUUUUUUUUUUUUUUAGCAAUCACAUAAUUCAUUUAAAAAUGAUAAUGUUCAUCCAGCAUGGUGCAUGUGUUAACUGGCAUAAUAUUUCUGGAAAGGACUUUGCUGAUAUAACAGAAAAUUUUAAAAUGUUUCCACCCUUUGAUUCACAUUCUACUUUUCAAUGACUAUCCUAAAGAUGUAAGUUAUUAACACAGAUUUACUUGUUUAUCAAGGUGGUUUUUAGAAUAGCAAAAGCAAGGAAGACAGGGAAACAACCAAAUGUCCAAUACCGGGGACGUGUUGAAUAAAUUAUGACAUAUUCUACCAUAUGAUGAACCAUUAAGAAAUUAUUAAAGUUGUAUUUUCUUCACAGUGAAAAUAUCUUUAUAUAACGCUAAUACAUGUUUUUAUGAAACAUAUAGUUAUUUCACGAUAUGAUCUCAAUUGUUUAUAUAUGUGCAUACAUUAUUCUAUGAAUAUACAUAAAAGGUAUGAUCAAAA
rnacentral:lncRNA from 1 species